rnacentral:ncRNA from 1 species
UGUUCCAGAAUAAUCGGCUAGACUUUAUAAGCUUGUACUCUAAUUGUUGUUAAUCUUGAAUUUUUAGAGUGUGCUUUUGAUUUUAUGGUGAAAUUAAAGAUUUUUGUGUUAUACGUUUAAGAUUAUAAGAUUUAGUGAACGAACCAGAUUAGUACCUGGCUAGAUAAAAAUUAAAAGAGCAGGAGUAAAGUUGAAUUUAAACUGUAAUAAUAUUGGCAGGCUUUAAAAUUAUCUUUGGAGGCUGAGUAGUAAUUGAGAACCCUCAUUUACAACUCUCAUUUUAGGCUCAUGUAUGAUCGUUUAUUUUAUUCUUAAGGAUUGUAAUUUUAGUUUUUUAUCUGUUAAAAUAGAUAUAUACUUGGUUUAUGCGGGAGGUUAAUUUGGCCUACAAUGUUAUAUUUUCUGGAUAGUGUUGGUAGUUGAUACUUGAAAUUGUAAAAGACAGUAAAGCCUUUUUAAUGGGGGAUUGAAGUUUAUUUAAAAGCGGUACAAAUCAUCCAUCAAUUGCCUAUAGGGGAGUAAGUUGUAGUAA